rnacentral:lncRNA from 1 species
AUGAUUGGAGAUGGCCCAGGAACUGGAGAGAAUCAGGACAAGAGGGUGACAACAUGGAGCAUUCUCUUCUCAGAGGACCAGCUAAGGAAGCAUGCCCUGAUGUUGGGACCCCAGGAAGAGGAGGUAUGUGGAAGUGUGUUCUCCUCUUCCCUCUUCAGGCCCCAGCAUUGCCAGUCCCCUCAGGGUUCCUUCUACCAUCCAACCCCUUUUCCUGACCUGAGAUUCUGCAUCAGACAGAAUGUUCUAAAUUUGCUCACUAGCCUCAAGAUUCCCUGUUGUUUCUGUCUCUCCAUUUCCAGCUGAAUUUGUUCCAAGUGCCAGAAUCCCUAAUAUUGCUCUGUUGGUUAAAUAAACCCUUGAUUUAUCUAGCA